rnacentral:rRNA from 1 species
UACGAAGGGGGCUAGCGUUGUUCGGAAUUACUGGGCGUAAAGCGCACGUAGGCGGAUAUUUAAGUCAGGGGUGAAAUCCCGGGGCUCAACUCCAGAACUGCCUUUGAUACUGAAGAUCUUGAGUCCGGGAGAGGUGAGUGGAACUGCGAGUGUAGAGGUGAAAUUCGUAGAUAUUCGCAAGAACACCAGUGGCGAAGGCGGGUCUCUGGGCAGUAACUGACGCUGAGGAGCGAAAGCGUGGGGAGCGAACAGG